CGCACGGUGGCUUAGUGGUUAGGACGUUCGCCUCACACCCCCAGGGUCAGGGGUGUUCGAUUCCCUGUCGGGGGU